CCCCGUUCCCGUCACAUUUGGGAAGUCCAGGUGCGAACAGGGCCUGGCCGCUUCUGGCACAGCCCUGCCCCGCUUGCUGCUGGCCCCGCUCGCCAACGCUGGCUCGCCGGCGGGGGGGCUCGCUCCCAGCAGCUUCCCUCAAACCUCGUGGAGCUGCGCCAGGAAAAACAAGGUGUGACCGAAGCUGGGGCCUUGGGAGGAAGAAAGCCUCGCCGCCCCACAGAAUUCACUCCUCGUACCGCUGCUUCGCCUGGAAAAGUCAGGAGGGAGCCAGCCUUCUCCGCCCCGAAUAAAGGGUUUGUGCCCGCGGCUGCAGAGGGGCGCGGAGAAAACGUUGCUGAACCCCGGCGUAAGGAAGCAGGGGGAAAGGAGAGAGUGCAAACAGGGUUUCGUGCUUUUUAUUUUUAUUUUUUUUUUAAACGUCUCCAGGGGACUUGGCACAGCCAGCGAACAAAGCCCUCGGUGUCCCUUCAGACGUGGCGGCCGGAGCCGAGCGAGGCAGGCGUUGCGGCACGCCGGGAGCAAGCGCGAGCACGAAGCGCCUCUCCCGCCGCCCCGUGUGAAACCCGACGAAGCGCCGGAGCUGCCGGGCGCGCACCUGAGCUUGCUCACGCCCCGUUCGUUCAUCGCCCCCCUCCCUGCUGCAAGGGCACGAGGCAUCUUGCAGGCGCUUGCGAGGAGACGGCGCCCGUCCCCUGCGCCUGGACCCCCGCUGGGUCUCUGCCGGCUCGUGUUUGCCGGGCUCUGCCCCCCCGGCGCUUUAAGCUAGCAGCGAGGUACCGAAACGUAAAAGGAGAAAAAUCUGAGUUUUUUGGGGAUCUCCAGAAACCUAAAUUACACCCGCGGGGCUUGCCUGGGCUGGAGUUAAGGGCAGGCUCUGCCCUCCACGCUGCUGCGGCACCUCAGGCUGACUGCGGCGGGACAAAAUCCUCACAUCUCCUGCAAAUAAUAAUUAAAAAGGAAUUUUUUUUUUCACCCAAUAACACAGCCACGGCUUGUGCUUUGGCCAUCCGUGGUCCCGGGUGCCCUGCAAACGUGACACCCCGCUGCCGCUCUGCAUUUCGGGACCGAGACACGGGCUUGCAAAGCUCUGACCUCAGUCCAGGAGGAGUCCGGCACGCCACGAAGACGAGAUUUGUGUUUUUAUCAGAUUGA
rnacentral:lncRNA from 1 species